ACAUAACCCUUCCAAAUCUACAACAACACUAGCCUUUGUCAUCUCCUCCCCUGGCAUCCAUAGCGGCCACGUCGUCUUUGUCACUCUCCCAAUAUUCUUGCCAUGAACGAGCUCUACAUCAUCAUGGCCUUCAUUGGCAUCAUCCUCAACAACAUCUAUACUCGCAUCAUCUUUGCCACACCCCUUCUUCCCUUUCAUUUGGGCCACAUAGAGGAGCAAAAGAACAAAAGCAAACGAAAAAAAUUUGAGUGUGAAAUUAAUUGAAGUGAAGUGAGG
rnacentral:lncRNA from 1 species